AGAGAAGGGGAGGGAGCGAGAAUGGUGCUUCGAGUUCGGCCUGGAUCGAGUUCUUCUAGAUCUCGAUCGUAGGUCCGAACUCUAGCUAUAUAUGCUAGUAUAUAUGCUAUGCGUGGCUAGCCCUCCAGCUAGUAGGUACCCCUUGACGAACUUCGACGUCGCGCGGAGGCUCAGCACCCAGCUGCUGCUGCUCACCCUCCACCUGCACCACCUCCCCUUCUGCCGCCGGCCGCUCUUGCUCUUCUGCCUCGCCCACCUCCACUUCUAGUCCCACUGGUUCUCCGUCCAGGUCCUCGACGACGUCGUCCGACGGGACCUGCCGUUCCCCUUCUCCCGCUGCCUUUUCCACGACUGCCUAGACUAGUUGAGGCCGUGCCACACGAUGGUGCUGCUAGUGCUCUGCUCCCCCGUGACCUCCGGCAGCGACGUCUCGUAGUGGCUUCGGCUUCUCGGAACUGAAGCUAUACAUCCUGUCAAGGUACCUAGAGAACUAAUAGUACACGCAUAUAUAUCAACGACAUACAUCCUCACGUCCGUAUCCAAAAACCUAGCUCUAAGAUAAUCCUCUACAUGUCUGACGUCUUUACGACCAUCGUCUCUAAUAAAAAACCCUCAAGGAGAAGACCUUUAGAGAAUAUAAAAAGAUGGUUACACAAAAAUCAGACAUUAAUUAGGGCCCUGGAAAGCUCAUAAGUCCCUAUCUCCUCUGUAUAUACUUUACGAUAGAAGUUUGCAUUUGACUUUCGUCUUGUUUUACGU
rnacentral:rRNA from 1 species